CCUGUUUAUAGUUACUUGGUUAAUUCUCUCAACAAAUUGUUUUAAAUUUGCUUGCUUGUGUUUUGCGAUUUUAAUAUCUCAACAUAAGGCAAUGUUAGAUCAAAAAGACAGGGCUCCUGCUUCCCCAACACCCCAUUUUGUAGAUAAGACAUGAUGAGACAGAGAAGGGUGGAACAUUUAUAAUGGAUUCCUGAAAUAAUCUAGAUUUUUCACUCUUUCAGGUCAGGGAAACCAGUGUAAAGUCUCAACCCAGAGACUGUUUCUGUUCACCCACCAGCUGCGAAACCUGCAGGUGCCCUGCAAACAAGGGAAUGCUUGAACGCUCAAGAAAUGCUUACUGACUGAAUCAUGCAAAAUGAACAGAUGAAUGAACACAGUCUCUGGCAAAAUGGUGACUUUGCUUUUUAACACCGUCACCCUUGAUGCUACUGUUUGGAAGUUUGAAUUCUCAAGAAUCAUGUUGAAAUUUGAGCUCCAAUGUUGAAGAUGAGGAAUAAGUGGAGAUGUUUGGGUAAUGGGGGCAAAACCCUCAUGAAUGGCUUGGUGUCAUGUUCAAGGUAACGAAUGAGUUUCCACUUUAUUAGUUCUCAUAGGGGCUGGUUUUUAAAAAUAACCUGGAACAUUUCUUCCCUCUAUCUUGCUUCCUUUCUUGCCAUGUGAUCACUGCACGUGCCAUUACUGGAAGCAGCCUGUAGUCCUCAUGAAAAGCACAUAUUGAUGCCAUGCUUCUUGUAUAGUCUGCAGAAUUGUGAGCCAAAUAAACCUCUUAAUAAACUUCUUCUCUCUGUAAA